CUAGGAUGAUGUGGCUCAGAGACAACCAGCCUCAUUGCUGAGCACUGUGAUUUUUUUUUUCUACAACCAGGCAGAUUGUUUAAACCACCACAGAGCAGGGGCAGAGCCUGCAAGAAGCUGAGGCAUUUCUAUACAAGACAAUUUGAAGACUUCAGAGAGCGCUGGGGGAUCUCUUUGACUCUUGGCAGUGAACAGACUAAACUGAGAAGUACAGAAGUGUGAAAAAAAUUGGGAACUUUCUUCUCGUCCUUUUAUCCUUCAGAAAUCUGACUAUCUGCAAAAACAGAAGAAAAAUCAAA
rnacentral:lncRNA from 1 species